UUUCAUCCGUUUGGAAUCCAGACGUGUCCGUGUUUUUACAAAGCUGCACAGAAGUGGGUGCUCUCGGCUGAGGCUCUUCUAAGAGAAAGUUUUGAGGAUUCAAUCCUUUCAGCUUCCUGCCCAGGCUGAAAGCCGGUUACGUAACCGGAGACAAAAGGAACAAGGAACCAGUGGAAGUUGGACCACAGGAGCAACCAUUGUGAUUUAUGAAGAUAGACAGUGGUCUAUAUGCUUGUACCAUUUGAUGUGAGCAGACUUGCACAGGCCUGAGUUAUACGAAGAUGGAAGCAGAACAAAUCCUAAUCCCUGAAAUGCAGACAAGAAUUGAAGUGUAUGCAGGGAACUAUCUGAAGAAACUCGGUUUUAAGGUCUCCCUAGGAGAAAGUUACAGCCUAAUUUUAACUCUUUGGAGUUAAAAUGAUGCACAUAACAUUGCAUGUUGGUUUCUGUUCCAGUUGGAAAAACUGGAGUCCAAUAUGUCUGCACAGCUCAUGAGAAAACUUCGAGAACCACUGGUCUCUCCAGAAACCCACCACCCAGCAAGAUUGAACCCACAUGACAUGGCCAGACGCCCUGGUCUCCAGGGAUCCUCUGUCUCUCUGAAGAAGUCCCGGCUCCUCAUGGAAUCCAGUGAAUUCUGAAGAGCUGAGGGAGUGAAGGUGUGUGAGACCUUGAUCUGAUGGCCGUGAAAUUCACACACACCUGAGCGAGGGGUUGGAAGCCGUGCGUGGUUGCUUUGCUUUGGGGCCCUCAGAGCGUGGCCUGGCUGAAUCCUGCGCUGAGGUCCAGUGGACACCCUGCAUCCUGACCCAGACCCAACCCGAGCAAGAUGGACCAACGGCCCCUUCUGGACAUCCUUCCCGGCAAGCACAGAAGCUGGAGCAGAUGUGAAAAUGCGUCGCUCCCUGGCAGCUACCCUCGGACGCGUUAGUGUGCAAAGCAAUUUUGGGCGCACCUGGGACUCUCUCGACAGAGUUCAAGUUCUGGGAAACCACACGUAUUCUAUUCAGCUGCUCCCGGCUUCGGCUUCCUGACAUUUCUGUCACCCUGCUCUCUGGGACCCUCCUGCUUUCACAAUCAUAUGCCAGCCAUUUGCACUGCCCCUGCCUGGAAAGCAGGCUGGGCUGUGCUCGCUGUCCCCCACACCCCUCAGCUACCCCUGCAAGCCCAGGCCAAAUGCCUGAGAUCACAUCCGGACAAGCCCCACCAUGACCCCCACCCAAAUGC